UUCGUAAAUCGAAUCUUGUAUGUCGUCAGUUGUCAAAACGAAACUACGGUUGAUAUUCAAAUGCAUUAUUUUUCUCUUUCCGGGAUAUUGUUGUAGUAUGUUGAUGCUGCAUUAACAAAUAUAAGUGUAUAUGAAGUGAAAACACCAAAAAUAAACAACGGUUGCGAUAGACACUACAUAGACAUAUACGCUCUUUAGUCGUACCGAGCACAUAUCAGUGAAAGGGGGAAAAAAUUACAUAUCUUUAGGGUAUGGGUAACCUAUGGUCUUUAAAAAUCGAUUAGGAAUUUAUAAAAGGUAUUUCUUGUGUUAGGUUUAAGAAAGACUGUCUCAAAAUAUUGUAAAAAAAACAACAUUGAAACUAGCGACAGCUCCCUUGCAAGGAUAUUUUGGAUCUCCAAAAAGGAGAUUUUUGCGAAGGUCAAUAUUUCACGCUGCAGAAACAGAACAGAACUUUAAAGUUUGGCCAUGCCCAGGAGGGAGUGACUGAGUUAUGGGGUGCAGAAGAAGCACAAGCCAUCUCGACAUGAUGAAUCAUCCCCAACAGCGCUUGAGGAUGGUUUCUUGCUCGAUGAGGAUGAAUCCAUAACUGAGAAUUGAGGAUGAUACUUCUCUCAACACUGCAUUGUAUGAAGACAAAGCAACUCAGUGUGGUUAGUCAUCGUCAACAACAGAACCAGACUAAGCUGACGUUGGAGACUGUCAAGUUGAGAUCACUGUGCCUAUCAGGGUUGAGUGUUACAUACUGAACGAAGUGAUCCAAAGCAAUUUAUUGUCAAUACGCACGCUAGAGACCUGGACAUUCGCUUUUUACAUUCAGAUCAAAGCAUGGCAAAACAUAUUUAAGGAUGAAAGUAUGUGUUAAUGAAGCAGGACACACUACUGAAUAUGUUCAUGGUUAGGAAGUUGCCCAGAACCAUUUUUUGUGGGAACAAAUUUCUAGUGAUUAUCUUUUUGCCCUUUAGCUCACCUGAGCACAAUGUGCUAAUGGUGAGCUUUUUUGAUCGCCUUUUGGCAGUCGUGGAGUGCGUGUUGUGUGGCGUCAACAUUUGCCUUGUAAACAAUCUUGAGGCCACAUUAAUUGUCCAAACUUCAUGAAAUUUGGUCAGAACAUUUUUCCAAAUGAAAUCUUGGACAAGUUAAAAAAUUGUUCUGGUUUAUUGUCCGUCAUCAUGAAACUUGUUCAGAAGAUUUGUCAAAAUGAUAUCUUGGGCAAGUUCAAAAAUGGUUCCGGUUGGUUCAAAAACAUGGGCACCAGGGGGUGGGGCAUUUUUCCUUAUAUGUCUAUAUAUAGCUAUAGAAAAACCUGGUAUCCGGACAAUCUCUCCUACAGACAAUCGCUCCUACGCUAAAUUUGAUAGGGCGGACGGUCGCUCCUACGAUGUUUUGACAGGGCGGACAGUCGCUCCUACGAUGUUUUGCAAGGGCGGACAGUCGCUCCUACGAUGUUUUGACAGGGCAGACAGUCGCUCCUACAUUAUUUUGCCAACCCGGACAAUCGCUCCUACAUUAUUUUGUCAACCCAGACAGUCGCUCCUACAUUAUUUUGACUCCACGGCAAAAUGUAGUGUACGCCGAUCAAAGGCUAACACCUAUGAUUAACCAACAAUUAAAAUUGCCAACUUGUGUCGAAAAAUGCAAAAUAAGCCAGAUAUUUAAAUUUGAAAUCGAAAAUGUCUGUACAUUUGAAUUCGCCAUUAUGUUGCAUUUCAUGAAUUUUGUAUUCAAUGUAUAAUUGAUUGAAGCGAUUGAAUAAUUUGGAAAGUUCUAGUGAUGUCGUUUAAAUUUGUGAAACUACGAUGAUAUAAGGUAUAAAAUACGCAUCUUAUGUAUCCUUGGCAGGAUAGCUCAGUUGGCUAAUGCGUUUUUUACUUCGAGUCCUGCUGCGGGCUACUUUUGUUUUCCUUUUUUAAAUUUUAUUUUUGAUUUUUUACUGGAGCUUUUAAAAUUUAAUGUUUACAUUUAUCAAUAUAAAGCAUUUAAUGACAAACUUCAAAACAUGCCAAAAUCUGUGAAAAGGCCCCUUUAAUGUGACGCCAUUCUGUAAUCUUUAUGCACGGUUGGCACAUCAUAGGUGUCAAAGUGGUCAUUAUCGAUUGAUACUACCAUUGUUGUUAUAGCAAUUAUUGAUUUAAUGCGGUUUUUAUGUUUAUUCCAUUCGCAAAAUGGCACUUAUUCCAAUAAAUGUAAUAUAGGAAAGAAUGUCCCUGAUAGGAAUAAUGUAGGAACCAUUGUCCAAAGUGCCCUUAUAACUACCUUAUAUUUACAAUCGACAAACUGUAACAUAGUUUGUCAGUAAGUAAAUUAAUUAAUUAAAAUCAAAUUGAUCGGCUCAUGUUAAUUAAAUUGGCUUUCUGUUAACAGGUUGGCAAUUAUAAUUGUUGAUUAAUUAUAGGUGUAAGCCUUUGAUCAGCGAAUAAUAUGUUUUGCCUUGGAGUCAAAAAUAAUGUAGGAGCGAUUGUCCGGGUUGACAAAAUAAUGUAGGAGUGAUUGUCCGGGUUGGCAAAAUAAUGUAGGAGCGACUGUCCGCCCUGUCAAAACAUCGUAGGAGCGACUUUCCGCCCUGUCAAAACAUCGUAGGAGCGACUGUCCGCCCUGUCAAAACAUCGUAGGAGCGACUGUCCGCCUUGUCAAAUUUAGCGUAGGAGCGAUUGUCCGUAGGAGCGAUUGUCCGGGAUUCGAAAAACCUUUUUAACACUCUAUAGAGUGUCCCAAUGAUAUCAUGAAAAACAUGGCCACCAAGGGGCGGGGCUUUUUCCUUACAUGACUUUGGUAAAAACAUGUUAACACUCUCAGUCGCAUUUAUAGUCCAAUCUCCAUGAUGAAAAAUUCUUAUGUGAUUAUGAAUUUUCUUCAGCAACAUUAAUACCCUGCCCCAUUCGAUAAUGGCUCUUAUGCUUACAUGUUUGUUGCCUGCAUAACUGCAGAAUAUUAGCUGUUUUCUCCCGAUAUGUUAUUAAUUUUGUAAUAUCAACAACUUGCUUAAUACGUGUAAUAAAUUGCUUAUUUUUUAUGCCAGUUGUAUUGAUAUGUGUUUAUGAAUGAUGAAGUUUUGAUGAAAUAUCAUUAAAUUGUAAAAACUAUGUUCAUGCAUUCUUUUAUUGCACAGACUAAAAUUAAACCUAUCUCGCCAAAACCACUGGAUGCGCGAGAGUUUGCCGAUAUUUGGCGAGCUGCCUAUCUCUGUUAUCUCUGUUAUCUAUGUCUCUGAUAAAACUAAUUACUGCUG